ensembl:lncRNA
CUUUCAAAUGAGCAUUCAGAUGAGUGAGGCAACUGGUUGUUCUGACACAAGUUCUUCAGAACUUCUGUUAAUAGAUUUCAAGGUGUAGAAUGACUACGCAAUGAAGUAUGCAGUAGAAUACAAACUAAGCAAAGACAAAAACAAAGACAGGCAUCUACCCUACAGCCCUGAAUAGCAUGGCAUUUAUAACUUUGUUUGUGAUUGAGACUCACCUUUGAAUUAGAUGAUGACAAGAUUUAGAAACAAAACAUCAGGUAAGAUUGGUAAGUUUCUGGGUCAGUAGGUUGAAAGCAGCCCCAACAAGACUUCUGUACUCCUCCUACUCCCCGCUCUUUUGUGGUUUUGGGGACCAUGUACCAUAUGCCUCUUCUGCACUUUCCUAAUACUGGAAUUUCACCAAGCCUGAGGUUAAAGCUUAAGAACCAGUGUGGCUGAGCAACUUCAGGAUGUUAGCAAGAGUGUCUAAGGAAGUUUUGCUAUCUUUGUGCUAGAAAAUUCUCUCUUGCAGUUGAUCCUGAACCCUUGAGGAGUUCUUAUCAUAGCAGGACAGCCCGGCCUAACUCAGGUGGUAGAAGGAUUGUGAGUGAUAUCUCAGACCAGAUCUUUGUGCAGCUGCUACUAGUGCUGAGUCAUGGCUCCAGAAUUUUAAACAGCAGAAGUUUCUAUGAUGGAUUGUUAAAAGCUCAAAAACCUUUCCUACAGAAGCAGAGCAAUUUCAGAACACAAGACACAUGGGCAUCCUCCCAUGGUUGCUGUUGAACAGCAGUAAAAGGAUUCUUCAGCUCAGCUUCAGCUCACCUGGAGAAAUAAAUGGGAAGCCAGGGGGCUGCCACACACAUUUGGGGAUGAGGAAGCAGAAGUGUGGUGAAGGAGGUUCCACAGUUUCAUGUUCCUAAACUGAAACCUUUGAAGACAAUGGAAAAAUGCUGAAACACUAAAAUGAAGCCUUCAAUAGAUAGAAUGAAGCCUUGUCACUAAGAUGAACUGCUAACAGCAAGUUCAGCUGAGCCUGCACUGAGCUAGCAUCCCAGCUGAAAAUAAUGUAGAUGCUAAAGAUUAUUAUUACAUUUGAAGUGAGACCCUUUGACAAGUUACAACACAGAGGAACUUUAUGGAACAAAAGCUCUGCUCUGGGUGAUACCUAUGCCUUAAAAGCAACCCAUCUGCGACUACUACUCUUCCACCUCAAUACCAAAUGCAUUCCAUUUAAAAAUAAGACAUCCUAAUGAGUUUGGCCAAUCAACAUGGGAUUCAUUGACAGAAUGGAGAUGAUGGAGAAAAUGUGAGAAGAAAACUGGUUCUACUUGCUGUCCAUUAGACUGGAUGCGUUGUUGUCAAGAUUAAACAUCUCACAGUCAGUAACCAUAGUAAUGUACUGUUUCCUAACAUAGGCAUCCAAAAUCCUGCCACUCUUUCUAAAAGCACAGACAUUCCCUAAACCAUCACCUGAGGCUUUCAUGACCACACUCACCAAAUGCAUAUUACAUUUCCAUGCCCUCCAGUCUUAAUAGAGUAAACGUGCUAAUGAACUAACAACGCUUUAAGCCAUUUUAGAAUGUACUUAUUUCAAUAUUAUUUAAGAUGUAAAAAUGUAACUAAUCUCAAACUCCGUUUCUCACUGUCAGAAACUGCUGUCAUUGCCUUAAGUAACAGCACAGUGGAUGGAUAGGGAACAGGAAAACCAAGCAGCACUUGAUUACUUUGUUGAUCUAUUUCCUUCUUAAAGUCUCUUUCUAGGACCUGCUGCAAGCUGUAACCUUUAUAUGUAAUUACCAUUAAGGAGC